rnacentral:lncRNA from 1 species
UUUCAGCCAAUCCUGAGGCAUAAGAAACAUUUUAAUUCACUGCACAUUCCAAAAGCCUUGCAGAAAGCCUUGCCAUUUAAGAACAAGCCCAAGACCCAAGCAAACGCAGGCAAGGUGCUGAAGGACAGGCAGAGACCAACCAUCAUAAGCAAGCCUCAUGAAAGGAAGGUUCCUUGCACUGCUGGAUGCUCUGAGUACAGUGUGCAGUCAGAGGGUGCAGAAGGCCAAGAAGCAGCAGCACCUGCAGAAUAAAGAGCAUUUUAAAGCACUCCUCAAGCAGAAGGAGAAGCUGAAGCAGCAAGAGGACCUCAGAAGAAGCUCUUCUGAAUUCAGGGUCAGAGGGAAAGAAGAAGCCAGAAAUCCAGUCUGAAGAGGGCUGAGGAGCAAUUGCAG